rnacentral:rRNA from 1 species
GAAUGCUGACAUAAGUAACGAUAAAGCGGGUGAAAAGCCCGCUCGCCGGAAGACCAAGGGUUCCUGUCCAACGUUAAUCGGGGCAGGGUGAGUCGACCCCUAAGGCGAGGCCGAAAGGCGUAGUCGAUGGGAAACAGGUUAAUAUUCCUGUACUUGGUGUUACUGCGAAGGGGGGACGGAGAAGGCUAUGUUGGCCGGGCGACGGUUGUCCCGGUUUAAGCGUGUAGGCUGGUUUUCCAGGCAAAUCCGGAAAAUCAAGGCUGAGGCGUGAUGACGAGGCACUACGGUGCUGAAGCGACAAAUGCCCUGCUUCCAGGAAAAGCCUCUAAGCAUCAGGUAACAUCAAAUCGUACCCCAAACCGACACAGGUGGUCAGGUAGAGA